GUCGAACGGCAGCGAGGAGAAGCUUGCUUCUCUGUCGGCGAGUGGCGAACGGGUGAGUAUAGCAUCGGAACGUGCCAAGUAGUGGGGGAUAACCAAACGAAAGUUUGGCUAAUACCGCGUAAGCUCCAAGGAGGAAAGUAGGGGACCUAAAUAAGGCCUUACGCUAUUUGAUCGGCCGAUGUCGGAUUAGCUAGUUGGUGGGGUAAUGGCCCACCAAGGCAAUGAUCCGUAGCGGGUCUGAGAGGACGAUCCGCCACACUGGGACUGAGACACGGCCCAGACUCCUACGGGAGGCAGCAGUGGGGAAUUUUGGACAAUGGGGGAAACCCUGAUCCAGCCAUGCCGCGUGUAUGAAGAAGGCCUUAGGGUUGUAAAGUACUUUUGUUAGGGAAGAAAAGCUAGUUUUUAAUAAAAAUUAGUGGUGACGGUACCUAAAGAAUAAGCACCGGCUAACUACGUGCCAGCAGCCGCGGUAAUACGUAGGGUGCAAGCGUUAAUCGGAAUUAUUGGGCGUAAAGCGAGUGCAGACGGUUACUUAAGCCAGAUGUGAAAUCCCCAAGCUUAACUUGGGACGUGCAUUUGGAACUGGGUGACUAGAGUGUGUCAGAGGGAGGUAGAAUUCCACAUGUAGCGGUGGAAUGCGUAGAGAUGUGGAGGAAUACCGAUGGCGAAGGCAGCCUCCUGGGGUAACACUGACGUUGAGGCUCGAAAGCGUGGGGAGC
rnacentral:rRNA from 1 species